rnacentral:rRNA from 1 species
UACGUAGGGGGCUAGCGUUGUCCGGAUUUAUUGGGCGUAAAGAGCGUGUAGGCGGCCAGAUAGGUCUGCUGUGAAAACUCGAGGCUCAACCUCGAGAUGUCGGCGGAAACCAUUUGGCUAGAGUCCGGAAGAGGAAAGUGGAAUUCCUGGUGUAGCGGUGAAAUGCGCAGAUAUCAGGAGGAACACCGGUGGCGAAGGCGGCGACCUGGGUAGAUACUGACGCUGAGGUGCGAAAGCGUGGGGAGCAAACAGG